rnacentral:rRNA from 1 species
GACGUAGGUAACCUGCCUGGUAGCGGGGGAUAACUAUUGGAAACGAUAGCUAAUACCGCAUAAGAGUAGAUGUUGCAUGACAUUUGCUUAAAAGGUGCAAUUGCACCACUACCAGAUGGACCUGCGUUGUAUUAGCUAGUUGGUGGGGUAACGGGCUCACCAAGGCGACGAUACAUAGCCGACCUGAGAGGGUGAUCGGCCACACUGGGACUGAGACACGGCCCAG